UACGAAGGGGGCUAGCGUUGCUCGGAAUCACUGGGCGUAAAGGGUGCGUAGGCGGGUCUUUAAGUCAGAGGUGAAAUCCUGGAGCUCAACUCCAGAACUGCCUUUGAUACUGAGGAUCUUGAGUUCGGGGAGAGGUGAGUGGAACUGCGAGUGUAGAGGUGAAAUUCGUAGAUAUUCGCAAGAACACCAGUGGCGAAGGCGGCUCACUGGCCCGAGUACUGACGCUGAGGCACGAAAGC
rnacentral:rRNA from 1 species